ensembl:lncRNA
CCUCCUGCUGGUUUCUGUUGCUACCUUUUGAUAUUUCAGAGCAAGCUGAGUGAGUGACUGUCUAGACAGAGGAAGGUGGGCAGCAAACCACCUUCCUAUGAGCCCCAUGGUGUGCUCGCUGGGCCCUCAACACAAACAUUUUUCAGCAGAGCCAAGCCUUGGAGCUUAUCCUGAGGCCACUGGAGUCCAGUAACUCAUGGUACCUUGUUAAAUUUGCGCACUUCUUUAUCCAUCAUGCAGAUUAUUGCAGUUGGAAUGGGUCCUUUCAACAGUAACUUGAUAUUUAACCUUCCACGGAUCCAUUCUUAAAGCAUUCUCUGGGCACACUCAUUCACUUCAAAAUUAUUUCUUGGACACUUACACUAUGCUAGGCACUAAGUAAAGGUGUAAAACUCGUCUUCCAGGUGUUCACCAUUGGGUCUGACUCCGGUGCAUCAUGACAGCUGCUGUGCACACCUAAGAGGAGUGUGGGCUGUGGUUCUCGCCUUCCACCUGCAUCAAAUCCAGGGGAACACAGUCUCUGAGUGAGAAGGGUUCGUGGCCUUAGAUCCAGCACUGCCUCCUGCCCAUCGCAGAGUGAGCCCUGUACAUCAUCACCAAGUGAGGUGCUUUAGAGCAGACUCCCGCACCAUAUAGACCCUCCCUCCAGUGUCUGGUUUCUGCUUGAGAACGUUCACAUUCAGGAAGCCCUCCACUCUGGCAGCCCAUUCCAUUGUUGAAUCCUUCCAGCUCCUAGAGGCCUUUCCUUCCACACCUAACUUCCUUGUAACCUCACCACGGGCCCAGCUUCUGCCCUUAGGAGCUAGGAUGAAAUCAACUGCACAGACCCAAUGCCAGGUCUCUAGGUUGGAGACAUCCCAGCUGAAUCCUGGCCCCCUUCUCUGGCCUUCAUUAUCCCUGUUCCUUCAGUCACCACUCAGGUGCAUUUGUUUUGAGACUACCUCGUCACUGUAUUGCAGAGGCAAGACUGGCACCAGUGGUUAAGCAAUAAUAUGAGCCACCUUAAAACUAGGAGUCAAAUUAGUUCUGUAGCUAUACAAGUGGGCGUGGACUUGUACAUGCACAUGUGCGUGCAAGUGCACCAUUAUGGGAUAGCAGCAUGUUGCCACUGACAGGACAAGAGUGUUGUCCUUGUUUCUACAGGCUUAUCUGAGCCCUCAAAAGGAUUAACAAAGAAACCAACACAUAGGCCAUUCUUCUCCAUGGAGUGCCUUGAUUAGGCCUCUUGAACAUGGAGAGGGACAGAUGUAGGCACUCAAGGAAGACAUGGAAGAGGGAGUGAGGCUCGCGCUCACCUUGAACCUGGUAAGGCUCUCAGCUGGUAGUGUUUCUCUGCUUUUUGUUGUCUGGCCUCUUAAAUAAAUUUCAAGAGGUCGGAAGUCUGCUUCAGGUGUUCUUGUUGGAACACUAGAAGGCAACAGGAUACUAGAAGAUGACAACUUGAAGUGAGAGGGUGCAGAUCGUAGGGCCAGGGCAGGGAAUAUGGACAAUUUCCUCCGCCUGCACUGUGAUUGUGCAACAGGAAACCAACUCGUCUAGUGGGUUACGAAACAGACUGAGCCUCCAGGACUCAGAUUCUGGUAGAGACUGAGGCAGUGGGAGGAUGGAUCCAAGCAGGAAGGUGAAUGAGAUGGAGAGGGGUCAGAUGGCUGGGAGGCAGGGGUGUGGGGGCAGCAUAACUUAGGAGCCCUACAGGUGGAGUCAGGACAGACCCAAGUCCAAACCCUGGGGCCACUAUUUACCAGUGAUGUGAUGUAACUAGAGGUUAAAUCUUGCUAACCUUAGUUUCCGCACCUGUUAGUAGCGGCAAUAAAACUUGGCUAGUAGAGACAUGCUGAGGAUCUCAUGAAGGCCUGGCACAGGGACUCUGGGUUCUUUGGCAUAGAAAAUACCUUGAAAGCUGUACGGGUACCCAUUGUCUGUAUCCAAACCUGAUGUGUGCUGGGACCAUUUCAGCGACUGAACUACUAGAAAUGUGAGCCCUUACCAGAUGCAUUUUUCUUCUCUGAUCUCCCCAAGUUCUUGGAUGUCUCUGUCUAGAAGGCGUUAUGAGGUUUAGCAGCAGCUUAUCUUUCUCAAGAAAUAGAAUAAAAUUCUCUUUCCAUUUCUACUAACAUCAUAUCCAACUUUGAAAUCCGGCAUUAAGUUCCCACAUCCUCUUUUCCACAGCGAUUUCUGAGCACUAACACCCAUCCAGGUCAGGAAUCCAGCAACUGAACCAAUGAAUGCAGCCAAAGAGCGAGAAAUAAAUUUCCUGUUUUCCCACUACAUUACCUGGCAUCCUUGCAGUGUUUCUCUCCUUAUGAAUUCAUCACAGUUGAAUCCUUCUUUGGAGAAGGCUGCCUCGGGUCAAAUCCAUGUCCUACCACUUGUAAGCUGAAGGAUGUAGCUCAAUCCCCUCAUCUAUACCUUGUGGAUAAUAAAAAUCUCUCAUCC